GUUAAAUAUGCAUGUCACUUGGCAUGUGCGACCCUAUAUCAUUAAACGUUGAAUGUCUUGUUGAUUAUUCAAUACAAACAAGUAAUAAGGUCAUAGCAUUAUCAUCAAAAUAGAGAUUGGGAAAGACCUAAGAGGAGAUGGUGGCCAGUGGCUCGAUCAUUGCGUGUUUAUAUGUAAGAACUAGAAAUAGGAGUGUGAAGAUAAUACCGGGUAUUCACCAGAAAACUAAGUUAUGUUUCCACUGAAGCAAAGAGGAACCUUUUGCCAUUUUACGCUGCUGCAUGUUCCAAAAUAUUUACAAGCAAUGCUUAUAGAUAUAUUUUAUCCAUGUUAAAACAACAUAGUCUGAGGAGCCUUCGGGUCUUACUUCGAUUUAAAGGCAACAAGCGGCGACUUUUUUAAGAAACAUGCAACAGCAAUAAAAACUUUCUUGGCGUUGCUUCAGUGGAAACAGGGCUUAAGCUAUGCUAUGUUAUGGAAACCUUCAAUAAUUACCAGAAUUUCGGGACCCAGGUUCUGCAAUUAUGGAGAAGCAGAAAUGAUUCUAUUCCAGAAAACUGAGAUCUUAGACGCGCGGAACGUAGAAAAGGACAACACGAGUGAAAGAGAAAAAGGGGCUGAGAGUUUGAAGUGUUUGGUAACGUAUAAAAACUUUCUUACCGUUGAUUGUUGAUCAAGGAAGCUUCUACCAAUAUGUUUGUUACAUUUUUCUGAUUAAAAUGACAUCAAACACGAUACAAUUUGGAGCAUAUUUACUUAUUUAAUAAAUGAUAACCAUAUUAAUACGUAAAUAUAAUUCAUGUGUUUGGUCUCGUUUUAAUCAGAAAGAUGUCAUAAAUAUGUUAGUAAAAGUUUGAUUUUAAAAAAGUCAAAAAUAAAACAGUUUCACUGCUGAAUUAGUACCUACAUACAUCGCCUGAGCGAUAUAUGAUAUUGGAUCAUAUUACACUACUCGACAGGGCCGGCGCAAAGCAGGUUCAGCGCGUUCGUCGGAACACGGCCCCACGUUUUGAGAGGUCCCGCGGUCUACGAAAAUUACCCAAUUAAAAAACACCGAUUUUGAUUAACUUUUUACAGAAUAAUGAUACCAUUAAGAUGCAAGACAUUUUUUUAGUAGCAAUGAUUCAGUUUAAUGAAGUGACGAAAAUUAUCAAAGUUCAGUGUAACUCCAUAAAGUCCUCAUAUCCUGGAAAAUACUUUAGAUAAAAAAAUCUAGGCGCUUUCAGAGAAAUGUACUUUUUAGAGAAAUUAAACUACAUCAAUAGUUUUUUGCAAAAGUCAUACAUGAUUACAAAUUUUGUACUUUCAUUGAAUCUUUUGUCCCUUAAAAGCGAAUUAUGGAUUGGAAAAAAAAUUACUUGGAUUUGUUUAAAAAACUGCUUAAAGAAAUAGAGAUAACGCUCCCCAAUUUUUGGAAGUCUGUCGACGAGUCGCAGCUCCUACGAACUUGCAUAGAAAUUGGGCAUAGUAACGCCUGACAUUUAUUAGUGGUUGUGUGUCAGUCACCGUGUUGCGGUUCAUAUGUUUUACACAAAAACGCAUCAGGCCAUUGCAUUGCUUCGAUACUGAGCAUUAGUCAAUCUCACGACACGUAGCAAGGAUUGUGAUCGUUACGUUUUGGUAAAUUUAAGACGACGAAUAUUUUCAAAGUUACAUUGUGGUAUAAUACAUUUUCAAAACGUUUGAUUUCUGGUAAGUACUUUUUUUCAAUUAUUUCCCCUCUUUUAAGUUAAAAUCAACCCUAACUGAAAUCGCGUCGCAAAAAAACUUAUGGCAGUCAUACAAAUGAAAUCCAAUACAUAUAACUAGUUGAGAAUUUGUAUUCGUUAUUAUUAAAUAUAUAGUUCAUUCUAUCUUGCAGUAAAUGUUUUUUGGCGCACGAUUUUAUUCACUUUUGUAGCAGACAAAAUUUUAUACACGGAAAUAUGUUCUUUUAAGAACCGCUAUGGCUAGCAGGGCUAGAGAUCGUGGACGGAAAUACUUAAGUGGGGCUGAAAAACUGAAACGGAAGAAGCAGCGAGACGAGUAUAUGAAACAGCAAACAAACAACAUCUUGAGAUCCCUUUGGAAGAGGAAGAUCAAGAGUUGAAUACACCUGUGAAGGAAAAUAAAGAAUACAUCAACGAAACUAAAUUGAACGAAAAUGAAAACAAUAGAAAAACGAGCGAUUGUGAAACUCAUCAAGAAAAAGAUAUUGAAAAUAUGGAAAUUGAAGCACAAAAAGAAGAAAACAGAAAUUUCGAUGCAAUAAGAAGAGCAAAAUAUUAUUCCAUUUAUAUAGCCAUGGAGAGCAAUAUUAUCGGCUGUUCUUCGUUAUGUCAAUAUAACAGACGAGGAGGUUGAAAUCAAGGAACAUUUUAUCAAAUUUGAAAUAGUUCACGAUACAAGAGGAAAAGGACUAUCUGAAACUAUCAUGCUCAUUCUGGAUCAGUUGGGAAUAAAAAUAUCCGACUGUCGCAGACAAGGACAUGAUGACUGUGCCGAUAUGAGGGGAAUAUAUCAAGGAGUACAAGCAAAUAUAUUACGUGUAAAUCCUAAAGCGUUUUACGUACCAUGCGGUAGUCACAACUUGAAUUUGUUAUUGGGAGAUACAGCAAAAUCAUCAACCCAAGCACUACAUUUUUUUGGUGUUUUACAAAAGAUUUACACGAUAUUUGCAGCAUCGACAUCGCGUUGGGAUGUUGUAAAAAGACACGUUGAAAAAGUUACGCCUAAACCAUUAUCAGAAACUAGGUGGGAAUGUCGUUUUGAUAGUGUAAAGGCUAUUCGAUUUCAUGUUCGCCUGAACAAUAAAUUGACAAUUGAGAUUUUGUAUAUGGUGCGCAAGAUAAGUGAAUUUGAAUUUA